rnacentral:lncRNA from 1 species
ACAUUUCUUUCUGCUUUAGUCCCUCUGGACUUUAUCGGUUAGGUUGGCUAAUGGAAGUCCCUAAAGAAACUGUUAACUGCCCAACCUUGGCCAGUAGGAUGCAGGAUUAGUAGGUGGCUUCACAAAAUAAUUCCUAAUCACGUCUGUGGCGAUGGACCUGUGGAAAUCUCUUUGGUUUUUGAAUGCCAAGUCUCUAGAAGAAUAAGAAGUCAGGAGAGGGUUCCCGAGCUCAUUUUGCCAGCUCUGGCUCCCAGAGCAUCAGAGAGCCGACAACGUCAGGCUUAUGUCUUGAAUGCUCAGUUCCCAGCUUCUGAGGUGGAGCCUACUGGUCAGAAGUUGGGCUCCCCUUUACUGUAUCUGGCAAAGCCCCAUCUGGUGAAAGACCGUGUCUCUUCCUCAGACUCCACUUGCACCUCAGCAGCAGGCUGUUGUCAAAAUAACACCGGAGACUAUACUGAUGGGCUUCCUUCAAAUACGCGAUCGGAUCAGAAACUCCUGUGGGCUCACCAGAUGUCAGGAGCGAUGGGACACCAGAGGCGGAAGAACCUAUGUCCCCAGGCUACAGCAAAGCUCCCAGCCCUAUGAAAAUCAUCUAGCCUGCUCUGAGCCACAUGCCUAGAGGUCACAGAGGCAUGCGGGAAAGUGAGAGGAAGUGGAAACGUGCUACAAAAAGGGCUCAAAGCAAUGUGCUCACCACCGGAAAAAAAAAUAAAAAUAAACACCCUCA